GAAAAAUGUAGGUUUUAAAGAGGCCGGGACUACAGGAUUGCAAUAGAAGCUUCAGGACACUCCGGUUUGGCGGAAGCCGACCUGACAGCGGCAAGCUUGGACAUCUCCCCGGCAACCAGGAUGACUGACAGCACGGUCCUCCGUCAGCACCGCCUUUCACGACUUAACCUGCUUCCCGGCCAAGCGUGCAGGAACAGUCUUGCCGGGAAGCCUCUUGGGGUUUUCCCCCGCCAGUGUGACUUGGGGAGUUCAGAUCUGUACGCACUGGGAUCGUUUUAGAAACUCCGAGGGCACAAACAGAUGGCGUUGCGACCCAGACUGUAUCGUUCCGUCAUCUUUGGCAGGCGAUAAGAGCGACUUCCUCCAAGGUGCUCUAGAGCGACUUCCGCCAGGGCUGAGCUCUCCAGCUGGAGGCAGAAACAGCCAGCUGCGGACCACACAGGAAAGCAGGCUUGACCCUCUGCCCCUCAGUUAGUUCUUUUUCCUCUUCCUCACUCUGACCAGCAGUAUGCACGGCCUUGGAAUUCUAGCCAGAUCUACGGGGCCAUGGAGAGGAACGAAGGAGCUGAGGGGGCAAGAUGACUUGUUUCGUUUUUUUUUUUAAAGGCUUAUUUAUUUUUAUUUGGUGCAUCUGAAUGUUUGCCUGAAUGAAUGUAUGUGCACCACAUGCAUGAACUUCCCUUAGAGGAUAGAAGAGAGCAUAAGACCCCCAGAAAUGCAGUUACAGACAGCUGUGAGCCGCCAUUGCAUGCUGAGAGUUGAACCCUGCUCCCCUGGAAGCAGUCAGUGCUCUUACCACUGAGCCACCUCUGUUAUUAUUCCUGGCCACUUCUGGAGUCACGUGACUGUGCAUGUGCUGUCAGCAGUCAGACAAAACGCUUAGUCACCCCAGGGCCUUACACCCCCUGACCCCCCACCACACACACCUUUCUUUUCCGUAGGCCUACCCACCUCUACCCUUCCCUAAUAAAAACUCUUACAGUGGGCUCCA